rnacentral:rRNA from 1 species
UCCCAUAAACCGUGGCUCAGUUCAGAUCGUAGGCUGCAACUCGCCUACGUGAAGGCGGAAUCGCUAGUAAUCGCAGGUCAGCAUACUGCGGUGAAUACGUUCCCGGGCCUUGUACACACCGCCCGUCACACCAUGGAAGUUGGCCACGCCCGAAGCCGUUACUCCAACCCUUGUGGAGGAGGACGUCGAAGGUGGGGCUGAUGACCGGGGUGAAGUCGUAACAAGGUAUCCGUACCGGAAGGUGCGGAUGGAUCACCUCCUAA